GAUGAACGCUAGCUACAGGCUUAACACAUGCAAGUCGAGGGGUAGCAGGGUAGCAAUACCGCUGACGACCGGCGCACGGGUGAGUAACACGUAUCCAACCUUCCCAUAACUCGGGGAUAGCCUUUCGAAAGAAAGAUUAAUACCCGAUAGUACUUUUUCAAGGCAUCUUGGGAAAGUUAAAGAUUUAUUGGUUAUGGAUGGGGAUGCGUUCCAUUAGAUAGUUGGUGAGGUAACGGCUCACCAAGUCUUCGAUGGAUAGGGGUUCUGAGAGGAAGGUCCCCCACAUUGGUACUGAGACACGGACCAAACUCCUACGGGAGGCAGCAGUGAGGAAUAUUGGUCAAUGGGCGAGAGCCUGAACCAGCCAAGUAGCGUGAAGGAUGAAGGUCCUAUGGAUUGUAAACUUCUUUUAUAGUAGAAUAAAGUGAUCCACGUGUGGAUUUUUGUAUGUAUACUAUGAAUAAGGAUCGGCUAACUCCGUGCCAGCCGCCGCGGUAACAC
rnacentral:rRNA from 1 species